ACAUGACUAUUUGUAAUUUUACCAUAACAAAACUAUACAUGGGAUUAUCUAGUACCAGUACAUACUUCCUUGGUAUAUUACUAUGGUUUACCAGUGUAUAACAAACAAAACAAAGAAUUACAAACAGGAUCCUGUCACAUGUGCCGAUACAAUGUAAACAUUGUGUACUGUCAACCAUGUUUUCCUGUGUAGGAUGUGGGUUGAUAUGUGAGCUGUGUGCAAUAUAAUAGAGCUGUGUGUAACUACGUACUUGUAUACAUAUAGCGACUUGUGGUCGACUGCGCCACACGCAGGGUUUUAUGAACCAUUUUGUCUGGUCAACAAAUAAAUCCGAACUUAUCAUGUGGUUGUGUUUCAUUGAAUGAUUCCAACACCCCGUUACACUGUUAUGGAUAUUGACUCAAUUCUGUGUAAUAUUUAUGCAGGGUAGAUGAGUGCUGCAACAAUGAUAGAGGAUAACACGGCAAGAAGCUUAUGAUGUAGGCCUACCCACACAAACCAAUGACAAUAUUUUAUUCUCAUAAACAUUAUAAAGUGUAGAGGCAAUUAUAUAUACAUACAAAAUUGUACAGAACAUAUGAAAUAAUACAUGGAUACAUGAACCGGACUUCGGUAGACCAUUGCUGAUCAGUCACCUUUCAUCUACAAUGAAAUACUAUAGUGGCAGCUGAAAUCAACUGUUAUUUCUUCAUUGUAUGGCCGAUUUCGGAAUUACAAUGCAUCUAAGACGCAGGAACCCUGCAUCAUGGAAAACGCUACUAUUGCAGGUCACUAAAAAUCCUAAUAUUGCACAAGAGCUGCCAUGUACUUCAAUUCCUUGUAGUCAAAAUUAAUAUGUUUUACAUGAUAGUACGGAUCGAGAGGUUAUUAAAUAUAAAUAAACAACAUCCACAACCCUUCACAGUUACGCCCCUGGAAUUCGGAAAUGGGUCAACAAGUGCCUAAUAAACUUGUUUUGGAAAUU